rfam:Trichuris suis scaffold74.11, whole genome shotgun sequence.
GGGGCUAUAGCUCAAUGGUAGAGCGUCCGCUUUGCAUGCGGAAGGCCCGGGGUUCAAACCCCCGUAGCUCCA